rnacentral:lncRNA from 1 species
UUCCCAAACCAAAUAACAUGUUUGGAAUGGACGAAACAAGGGCAUCAACUUGGAAUCAAUAGAUCGCCACAAAAUACUGCAUAAUUGAGCAUCAAUCUUAUCCCAAUGUGCUUUGGCUUUUUCAUCUCCGUCACUAGACUCCUUGGUGAGAUGAUCCUGAACACCUUGGCCUUUACACCACAACUCGACAGACGAAGCCCAAGCUAG